AAUAAUAAACUUUAUUUAUACCCCGCCACCAUCUCCCCGAGAGACGCCUUGCGGAGAGAAAAUGCAGGGUAUAAAUAAUCAUCAUCAUCAUCAAGGCCCAAACACCUAGUUCCCCCAAAACACAAAGGAAGGCGGUGCUGCCCAAGGAGAGACCGAAAUAGGUUUCCUGUCCCCGUUUUUUUAUUUUUAGCAGGAGCACGAACACUAUUGCCGUGAUGCAAAACAGGGAAGGGUUCGGCGAAAUCGGGAAGCAAACAGGGCAAUGUUUACAUUCGGCGGAGCAGCAGCGUAGUGGUUCGGGAGGACGGCACUCCCACUAUGGAUUCAUUUCUGGCUGUCAGAACAAACAAGAUGAUUCAGUCCGCCAUCGCUAUCGUGGGAUGAAACCCCUAGGAGCGGAAAGAGGCAAAGAACUUCCACAAAACUGUCUCUCCUCGAUACCAGUGGGCCGAUCACCACUGGGACCACCUUUACUGGCUUCUGCUGGAGUCUCUGCACAUUAUUAUUAUUAUUAUUAUUAUCAUCAUCAUCAUCAUCAGGAAAAGGUUUCCCCUGACGUUAAGUCCAGUGGUGUCCAAUGACUUAUCUCCAUUUCUAAGCCCCAGAGCCGGCGUUGUCCAUAGACACCCCCAUGGUCAUGACUGCAUGGAGCACCAAUGUUAUCUUCCCUAUUAAUCUACUUGCAUUGGCAUGUUUUCAAACUGCUAGGUUGGCACAAGCUGGAGCUAACAGCAGGUGCUCACUCUGCUCCCUGGAUUCGAACCUGCGACCUUUCUGUCUGCAAGUUCAGCAGCUCACUGCUUUAACAACACUGCGUCACCAGAAGCUUCCCAUUAUCAUUAUUAUCAUCAUUAUUAUUGACACAAAGAGCACACGAGAUCUAUAUUUUGUAUUUCGUAUCACAAAAUCACAAGUCGAACACUUCCCAAGUCUUUAGGACUGUGUGAUGUAUUAUUAUCAUUAUUAUCAUUAUUAUUAUUGACACAAAGACAUAGUAUGACACAGCGAAUGAGAUAGAUAUGCUGGAUUCUGUAUCACAAAAUCACAAGUCGAACACUUCCCAAGUGUUUAGGACUGUGUGAUGUAUUAUUAUUAUUAUCAUUAUUAUCACUAUUAUCAUCAUCAUUAUUAUAAUUAUUAUUGACACAAAGACAUAGUAUGACACAGCAAACGAGAUCUAUAUGCUGGCUUUCGUAUCACAAAAUCACAAGUCGAACACCUCCCAAGUGUCUAGGACUGUGUGAUGUAUUAUUAUUAUUAUCAUUAUUAUUAUUAUUGACACAGAGACAUAGUAUGGCACAGCAAAUGAGAUCUAUAUGCUGGGUUUCGUAUCACAAUAUCACAAGUCAAACACUUCCCAAGUGUUUAGGAUUGUGUGAUGUAUUAUUAUUAUCAUUAUUAUCAUUAUUAUUACACUAUUAUCAUUAUUAUUACUAUUAUCAUUAUUACUGACACAAAGACACAGUAUGACACAGCAAACGAGAUCUAUAUGCUGGAUUUCGUAUCACAAAAUCACAAGUCGAACACUUUCCAAGUGUCUAGGACUGUGUAUUAUCAUCAUCAUCAUUACUAUUAUUAUUAUCAUUAUUAUUACUAUUAUUGUCAUUAUUAUCAUCGUCAUUAUUACUAUUAUUAUCAUUAUUACCAUGAGUAUUAUCAUCAUUAUUAUUACUAUUAUCAUUAUCAUCAUUAUUACUAGUCCCCACUGGGGAGAUGGGGCGUGGUAUAAAAAUAAAGUUAUAAUAAUAAUAAUAAUAAUAAUAAUAAUAAUAAUCAUUAUUAUUACUAUUAUUAUUAUCAUUACUUUCAGAAAGCAGGUGUUAAGCAAUGCACGUUGCUGCUUGGGAACAUGAUGCGGCCUCCUCUCUGGAGGUUAUGAAGCAGAGGCUGGAUGGCCAUCUGUCAGGAGGGUUUUGGUUGGGUAUUUCUUGCGCUUGGACCCCCAAAGGUCACCAACGUAAAUAUGGAGGGGCAACUGUAAGGAGAGAGAAGCCAAGCUUUCAGAACGGGGACAAAAAUCUAUAUAUCACUGUUGUGAAACCAUUAAACAAUGUGGCCAUCCGGGAAAAUCCAAUCCCUCCCGAUAGAUGGCCAUUCAACCUCAAGGUCCCUCCUCCUGCUUGGCCCCGAUGCAGUGGCUGAGCAUGUAGAUUCGGAUCUAGAUUUCGGUUUGAUACAAGGACAUGUGGCCAUUUGAGUCUCGUCCGCAUCAGUAACCCCAGGAUGAAUGCAUUUAGCGGCAGUUAACAAUUACGGAUCUCAACGGUAAAAAAUCCCUCUGCUUAUAUACAUACAUAUAUACACUCACACGGCUCAUAACUUCACGGCAUUUGCAUACAGUUAAAAGGACGUUUUGUUCUUCCCCGCCGUUGCAGACAAUUGCUUCCCUGCGCACCUUCACCUGUGCUCCCUCGCCCACAACCAAAACUUCUAACUAGCAGUCCACAAAGUUAUAAACAUCCACUUUCAUCCACCUCCAGUUUGCUGUCAAUGCUGAAUUACUGUGUCGCAAAACGAUGCAGGUCUAAAUGAUGCACAGCUCUGGUCUAUUGGAAAGCUCUGGACUACUAGGUUACUAUGAUGGUGACUGCCAGCCCAUGUUUCCCUCUCUUCUGCCUUCAAACAGGAGGGAAAGAGAGACAGACGGCCUUACUGUGUUGCGAAAUGGUGCACUGUCUCAAAAGUAUGUUACCAAAAUGAAACGUUUGGACAGCUCUGGUCUACUAGAUUACUAUAGUGGUGCCAGUCCAUGUUUCGCCCUGAAAUACUGGGGAAAGGGAGAGAUGUACUGUGUCAAGGGAGAGACAGACAGACUUACUGUGUCGCAAAAUGAUGCAGUCUCAAAAGUGUGUUACCAAAAUGAAAUGUUUGGAAAGUUCUGGUCUACUAGGUUACUAUCGUGGUGACUAUCAGCCCAUGUUUCGAGCUGUUCUGCCCUGAAAUACUGGGGAAAGGAAGAGUUAUACUGUGUCGCGAAAUGAUGCACUGUCUCAAAAGUAUGUUACCAAUAUGAAACGUUUGGACAGCUCUGGUCUACUAGGUUACUAUAGUGGUGCCAGCCCAUGUUUAACAUGAAAUACUGGGGAAAGGGAGAGAUGUAUUGUGUCAAGGGAGAGACAGAUGGACUUACUAUGUCGCGAAAUGAUGCACUGUGUCGAAAGUGUGUUACCAAAAUGAAAUGUUUGGAAAGCUCUGGACUACUAGGUUACUAUCGUGGUGACUGCCAGCCCAUGUUUCGGCUGUUCUGCCCUGAAAUACUGGGGAAAGGAGGAGAUAUACUGUGUCAAGGGAGAGACACACAGACUUAUUAUGUUGCGAAAUGAUGCACUGUCUCAAAAGUGUGUUAUGAACAUGAAAUGUUUGGAAAGCUCUGGACUACUAGGUUACUAUAGUGGUCCUAGCCCAUGUUUCGCCUGGAUUUACUGGGGAAAGGGAGAGAUGUAUUGUGUCAAGGGAAAGAGAAAAAGACGGACUUACUGUGUCACGAAAUGAUGCACUGUCUCGAAAGUGUGUUACCAAAAUGAAAUGUUUGGAAAGCUCUGGUCUACUAGGUUACUAUAGUAGUGACUGUCAGCCCAUGUUUCGAGCUGUUCUGCCCUGAAAUACUGGGGAAAGGAAGAGUUAUACUGUGUCGCGAAAUGAUGCACUGUCUCAAAAGUAUGUUACCAAUAUGAAAAGUUUGGACAGCUCUGGUCUAUUAGGUUACUAUAGUGGUGCCAGUCCAUGUUUCGCCCUGAAAUACUGGGGAAAGGGAGAGAUGUACUGUGUCAAGGGAGAGACAGACAGACUUACUGUGUCGCAAAAUGAUGCACUGUCUCAAAAGUGUGUUACCAAAACGAAAUGUUUGGAAAGCUCUGGUCUACUAGGUUACUAUUGUAAUGCCAACCCAUUUUUCACACUGAUCUGCCUUCAAAUACCGAGGAAAGGGAGAGAUGUACGGUGUCAAGGGAGAAACAGACGGACUUACUGUGUCGCGAAAUGAUGCACUGUCUCAAAAGUGUGUUACCAAAAUGAAAUGUUUGGAAAGCUCUGGUCUACUAGGUUACUAUCGUGGUGACUGCCAGCCCAUGUUUUCCUUCAAACAGUGGGGAAACACAGCAAGAGAGAGGCAUCAUGACUUAGGGUUUAGCCACCCCCGUGUGUUUACUUUCUAGGGGAGAAGACGGACUCACAACCGCAAAGCCCUCCUCCUUCCUGGGAUCCUGGAUAGUGUGCCGCAAGCUCCCCAUCCGCCUCCCACACGCCAGAAUGUCAGAAUACUCUCCUUCUCGCCCCCCUCUUAUUAUCCACUCUUGAAAUUGUUCCCAGGGACGAAGGGUCUGAAAAAACCAGGGCUCCGCAAACAAUAAGCGAAUCAGAAAGCAUUACAAACCAGCAACAGAUUGCCAAGGACUGGGAACGUGGUGGGAGGCUCGGGAGAGAAAAACAAAACAAGUGUUCGAGGGGGGAAAACAAUCUGCAGCGUUCCAACCCACAACGAACAGGAGGGGAGCGAAGAUGGAGAUAAACACUGCGCCGGGGGGAGAGCGGGAAAGACGAGAAAAACAGACACUCACAUCCAUCUAUCUCACACACAAACAACGCUGGAGAAAGGGGAGGGGAGAGAAACGCUGCUCCGCCGCCUCCGCAGAAGCGAAGAGACAGCCAAGCAUCUGGUUGCCAAGCGAAAAAGAGGGGGCUGAGCACAACGAAUGCCAACUCACAACUAAAUCAGAGGGUGUCAGGGCCGCACAACAGCCGAACGAGGCCCAGGUGAAGCUCUCCUUCCUCACAAUCCUUCGUUACUUGGGGUUUGGAUGGGAAUAUUUUAAUAAAUCAAAUGCAGAAAUAAUCCUCUUUAACUACCACAUAAUCAGACAAUUGGAUACAUUACUGCCAAUGAUGAAAAAGUCAUGGAAGAAGUCGACACUCAGUUUCCUCAACCGGCGUCUCGCAGUAUCCACAGUUACAUCGGAUUGGGUGGGAAUAAUUUAAUAAAUCAAACACAGAAAUAAUCCUCUUUAACUACCACAUAAUCAGACAAUUGGAUACAUUUCUAGCAAUGAUGAAAAAGUCAUGGAAGAAGUCGACACUUGGUUUCCUCAACCGGCGUCCCGCAGUACCCUUUACUUCGGUUUGGGUGGGAAUAUUUUAAUAAAUCAAACGCAGAAAUAAUCCUCUUUAACUACCACAUAAUCAGACAAUUGGAUACAUUUCUGCCAAUGAUGAAAAAGUCACGGAAGAAGUCAACACUCGGUUCCCGCAACCGGCGUCUCGCAGUAUCCGCCGUUACAUCGGAUUGGGUGGGAAUAUUUUAAUAAAUCAAAUGCAGAAAUAAUCCUUUUUAACUACCACAUAAUCAGACAAUUGGAUACAUUUCUGCCAAUGAUGAAAAAGUCCCGGAAGAAGUCGACACUCGGUUUCCUCAACCGCCAUCUCGCAGUACCCGCCGUUAUUUCGGUUUGGGUGGGAAUAUUUUAAUAAAUCAAACGCAGAAAUAAUCCUCUUUAACUACCACAUAAUCAGACAAUUGGAUACAUUUCUACCAAUGAUGAAAAAGUCAUGGAAGAAGUCGACACUCAGUUUCCUCAACCGGCGUCUCGCAGUAUCCUUUACUUCGGUUUGGGUGGGAAUAUUUUAAUAAGUCAAAUGCAGAAAUAAUCCUCUUUAACUACCACAUAAUCAGACAAUUGGAUACAUUUCUACCAAUGAUGAAAAAGUCAUGGAAGAAGUCGACACUCAGUUUCCUCAACCGGCGUCUCGCAACAAUUGGAUACAUUUCUACCAAUGAUGAAAAAGUCAUGGAAGAAGUCAACACUCGGUUCCCGCAACCGGCGUCUCGCAGUACCCGCCGUUACUUUGGUUUGGGUGGGAAUAUUUUAAUUUAAGAUAUAAGAAAUAUUAAGAAAUAUUAAGAGUUGACCUUAAGGGCCAUCUAGUCCAACCCCUUUCUGCCUUCAUGCAGGAAAGCCACAAUCAAAGCUCUCCAAACAGAUGGCCACCCAGCUUCAAUAUUAAGAGUUGGAGGGGACCUUAAUCAAUCAAAGCCCUCCGUAUUUGUCCAUUAUGGCGACAGAGAAAUCCCAGAGAGCUACCAAUCCACAAAAUUUUCCCUUAGCAAUACACAUAUUACAUCCUAUUCAAAUCAGACUGGCAGAAAAGCACAUGCCUUGGAAAACCCCAAACAGCAUCACAUUGAAGAUUAUUAUUAUUAUUAUUAUUAUUAUUAUUAUCAUCAUCAUCAAGCUGGGAUCUCCUCGCUUGCAAGACUGCAGUGGAAAAGGCCAAGGCCAUUCUAAUCUUUAUCCAUAGGAAAAGAGUGUCUGGGGGAGUCAUUAUAUUUAUUAUUAUCAUCAUCAUCAUCAUCAUCAUCAUCAUCAUCAUCAAGCUGGGUAAUUGGAGAAACGGGAUCAAGUCAAUAGAUGACUCGUCCAUAGGAAUAGUGUUUCUGGGGAGUCAUUAUAUUAUUAUUAUUAUUAUUAUUAUUAUUAUUUUCCAUUGAAAGGGAUCUAGGAGCCUUAGUACACCAUGAACGUGAGCCAAGAGUGUGAUGCUGCAGCGGAAAAGGCCAAUGUCAUUCUAAUAUUCAUCCAUAGGAAUAGAGUGUCUGGGGGAGUCAUUAUAUUAUUAUUAUUAUUAUUAUUAUUAUACUCCAUUGAAAGGGAUCUAGGAGCCUUAGUGGACCAUGAGCGUGAGCCACGAGUGUGAUGCUGCAGCGGAAAAGGCCAAUGCCAUUCUAAUCUUCAUCCAUAGGAAUAGUGUCUGGAGGAGUCAUUAUUAUUAUUAUUAUUAUCCAUUUAAAGGGAUCUAGGAGCCUUAGUGGACCAUGAACGUGAGCCACGAGUGUGAGGCUGCAGCGGAAAAAGCCAAGGCCAUUCUAAUCUUCAUCCAUAGGAAUAGAAUGUCUGGGGGAGUAAUUAUAUUAUUAUUAUUAUUAUUAUUAUUAUUAUUAUUAAUUUGCUACAUUUAUAUGCCUCCCUUCUCACCCCGAAGGGGACUCAAGAGCGGCUUACAAAUUAAAUUUACAUACAAUAUUAUAUUAUUAGCAUAGUACAAUACUGGUAAUAAAUUACUAUAUUGGACUGUAUCAAUAUAUUGUAAUAUUAUUAGUAAUAUUACAUGUAAAAUAUAAUAUAAAAUUGAUAUUAUUAUAUUGUAUUAUUAGCAUCAUAUCGUAUUACAAUAUAAUAUUAUGAAUAUUAUAUGUAUAUACAAUGUUUUAUAAUUAUUAUAUAUUAUUGUAAAUUAUAUUGUGUGUGUGUAUAUAUACACACACACAAUAUUAUUAUUAUUAUUAUUAUUAUCAUCAUCAUCAAGCUGGGAUCUCCUCUUUCUGUCAAAGUCCCAAGAAGGGGAGAAUAUUCAUCCAUACAGAGAUUAUUAUAAAAAAUAAUAAUCCGGCUUCCUUAUCUACCUUAUCUGAGGAACCUCCAAAAAGCAAAUAUUGAUAUGGCAUUAAGGAAAUCACAAGAGGAAACACAUUUUCUGGCCCAGGCAGCGGCCAGGACCUCUGACAAGACCAUUGGAAUACAUUGGCGCCAAGCCGGAAAAACCCAGCAAUAAUACUAUAAUAAUAAUAAUAAUAAUAAUAAUAAUACUUCAAUCCGGUAUUAAUUUUGCUUUGUAUCAUCUUACCAUUUUAUUAUAUUAUUAUUAAUACAAUAUUAUACUACUAAUAAUAAUGCAACAUAAUAAUAUAUUAUAUAUUAAAUAUAAUAUUACUAAUAAUAUUACCAUAUAAUGAUAUAGUACAAUAUAGUAAUUUAAUGCUUAUAUUGUGCUAUGCUAAUAAUAUAUUGUAUGUACAUUUGAUUUGUAAGCCGCUCCGAGUCCCCUUCGGGGUGAGAAGAGCGGGAUAUAAAUGUAGUAAAUAAGUAAAUAAAUAAUUGUAUUAUAUCGUA